rnacentral:rRNA from 1 species
UGGGGAAUAUUGCGCAAUGGACGAAAGUCUGACGCAGCGACGCCGCGUGUGGGAUGACGGUCUUCGGAUUGUAAACCACUGUCGGGAGGGACGAAUACGCCGCAAGGCGGGUGACGGUACCUCCAAAGGAAGCACCGGCUAACUCCGUGCCAGCAGCCGCGGUAAUACGGAGGGUGCGAGCGUUGUCCGGAAUCACUGGGCGUAAAGGGCGCGUAGGCGGCCUGAUAAGUAGGGGGUGAAAUCCUGCGGCUUAACCGCAGGGCUGCCUUCUAAACUGUCGGGCUCGAGCACAGUAGAGGCAGGUGGAAUUCCCGGUGUAGCGGUGGAAUGCGUAGAGAUCGGGAAGAACAUCAGUGGCGAAGGCGGCCUGCUGGGCUGUUGCUGACGCUGAGGCGCGACAGCGUGGGGAGCAAACAGG